UUCUCCCCUUCCGGAGAUGCCUGGACAUCCUCAUCUUCUGAGCUAUUGGCUGAGGUCACCUUAGGGAUCCCUAUAUGUCUCAUGGCCUGGUGUAGUGAUAUUUUUCCCCACAGUCUGUGGUUGUGUUCCCUAAUCCCACCUGCAAUUUUCUCGGUUGGCAGGUGUUUGUGUGGCCAGCUGUAUUUGUAACCAUUCUUUGUGUUGAAUUAGGUAACCAGCAGAAAACUGAUCAUGAGACUGCACUGAGAGGAUGACCUUUCUCUUGGCUAUGUGCUUCCACUGGACAUCUUCAAGGAACUGAAUGCUCAGAAAACUAUCAGAACCACAACAACAAAAGCUAAGUGAUUUCAAUUUUCUUGGGGUCUAGCUUUCCCAUAUUUGCAAUCUGCAUGAAUAAUUGAGCCAGUAUAAGAGGCAGGGCAGGGACUUGCACUUUUGGCAGCUGCUCAACUCUACUUGGCUCAACCCUGAUGAGAAGCAGAAGUCACAUUUGCUAGUAGGCUCUGGCUGCCAUUUAAUAUCUGUUGGUAUGUUAGGGAUCUGACUCAUGUUUGCUUGACAAGCAGCUAAAAUGGGUUAAAGUAUGUUACUCCCUCAGGCACACAUCAGCUCUUUUGCAGCUGGGGUCAGGACGCCACGGUUUUGGCUGGCAUGCUGCAGGCACAGUAUGCUCUGCUCCUGGACAACAACCUGUGGCAGUGGGGAGGAGUGAAGGCCUAGAGGGGAAACACCUCCAGGUGUCACAGACAGAUUUGCAAAAGCUUAUCUCCCAAAACCCGCUGUGGGGUCAGGGACUUGGCAUGUCACCAAGCGGGGCGGCGAUGUGGGGCAAGUGGCCCAGGCUGUAACCACCAGGCUUGCUGUCAGCAGAUGCCUCAUGGCAGCUCCAACGGCACUGCAAGGACCCUGCACUGGCUUUAAGGCAUGCUGUUUAGCUUCUGUAUCUCAUUUUGCCCAGCAGUGUCCUGUGAAUGGAUUGUAAGCAGUGCACUGGGUCCCUUUCAGGCUCACAAUUCAAGAACAGUCUUUUUUCUUUGGUUGUCUCUUCUAUCUUCCUAUCUCUUCCCCAGCAGCCACUUCUCCAAGAAGUAAUAACUCAGAUCCUUUAGUUCCUUAUCCUAGCCAGUGCUUUGAUUAAUCUAGUAUCUCUCUAAACAUUUUCCAACAUGUUUCUAGUCUUUCCACCUUGAAUGAGCCUCACAGAAAAAUGUAAACCAUUUUUUGCUUUCAGCAGAUUAUAUCUUGUUCUUCAGCUCUUCUGUGGUUUUCUUUUCUUUCUUUACUUAUUUUUCCUUUUAAAAAUACUUACACCAUUUUACAUAAAAACUAGACUGACAUGUUGUAGGAAUUUAUAGAGUAUUUCUGUUUAUUUGUGGCACAGGUCCCAACCAAAUCCCCACUGAAUUUUCUGUUGGGUUUAGAGCAACAAUCUCUGUUUGAAAACUUAUAAUGCUCCUUACUCCAGAUAACUGCUGACACACUCCCCCUCACUGCUUCUCUUGUCACUUGUAGAUGACACAGCGUGAGACUAUUUUGCCUACCUGAGCUCUAGAGCAGCACUGUGAGUCUGGAAAGAAAAUUGAUAGUGUUGUGACUGCUGGUCAGUAUCUGCUACUGCCUGUGUCCACUUGUGAUUUGGACUCCAGCAGCCAUCAUGCUGGUUUUUAUUAGUGCUCCAGUCUGUUCUCAGCCCUGGUUCUGUUGCAAAAUACAUACAAGAAAUAUGCAAGGAACAUUUAGCUCUGUUAAAAUAGACCUGCUGUUUUACUGCUAGAUUUCUUUUUCUUCUCCACUGGCUUCCAUCUCCUUCAUCCUCUUAGUGUGGCAUGUUUGUGGGUGCAUAUAGUAGUUCAUUGCAAAAUAUACUAGAUUUAAAAGCAAAACAGAAAAAACCUCCCUGACCGAAAUUGCUUCUUUAAAGCUGCAGCAUUAAGUUUGGCCAUGAUCCACCCUGGAGACUUUCCCUGGCAGAGACUGUGAUGCACACAUCUCAGUUUGGAAUUGCUCUUUCGGACACAGAUUCCUGUAAGGAUAACAGGAACAUGAUAGGCCCUGUCAUGCUAGGCAGCAAAGCCCACUGCAGUCCAGUGAAGACAAGCUGUCCACUCACCUCUUAUGGACUUUUCCGGGGCUGCCUGCAUGUAUGGGGGUGGGGAAGGGAAGGGGACAAGAGGACAGAAAUAUAGCUGGGGUUUUAAAUCCUUCUGUUUCUGAAGGAUUCAAGUCAUGUAUAUGAAAGAGUUCAAGCUUCCACUGUGGAAAAUGGUUAUCAUUCACAUGUUCUUUAUGCUGUGCUUCAUGAAAAACUUGCUUCAUUGUUGGACUGUGUUGAGCUCUUACUGGAAAAAUUCCUGAUCUUCAUUUUCUGGCCUGAUCCAGCUGACUUCUAAGCUAAAAGAGAUUUGUUAGAUUUAGUAGCCCCAAGUGACCAGUAAUUCAUAUAAUACAUGGUGCGUUGGCUGCCUCCAUCUCAUGGGAUUGUGUCUGCUCUCUUGCUGGCAAUCUGCAACUUUUCAUGAAGACUUGAAUGAGUCCCUCGGGGAUUGGACCUUUCUGCAAAUAUAUAUUUGUGUUGGAUGAACAUGGCAGGGAAGAUUAUGAGUCCACUGCAAUGAGCAGGCACCAUUCCUGCAAAGACUCAUCAUUCUUUACUCUGCUCUUGCCUGUUGUCGCCAGAAAUUAAAUACACAGGUGAUGACCAUGACCCUGGAAAAAGCCUAGAGAAAACAACCUCUUUACGAGACAUACCUUGCAAUAGGUGUUUGUUUAACUGGAAAUCCGCAAGAGCAGCUGCCCAGUGCAACGGUACAUAUUUGCUUCUGAAGCCUUUCUCAAAGACACUAUUUAAACAUGCUGAUGAACUGAGCUGGAUUUUUCCCCACCUCCAUUCCAGCAAAAUAAGGAAACUCAGAAGAUAAAAAUUUGAUUUGUUAUUGCAAGUUGUGCUAUGUGAACUGUUUCUGCAACCUUUCUAUCUCCAAAACCAAAGGAAUCGUCAAUGACCAUAGCUGAGGUGGCGUCACUCAUCUUCUCCUCCACCUCUGGCCAAUGGUAUAAAUUGUCAGAAAGGACUUGACCCAAUGUCCCUCCUACUUCUGUGGGCAGCAUUUAUGCAUGAGACAAACUUCACUCUGGCAUGGAGAAAGAUCUGAUCUGAAGGUCAGAGUUAACAGGAGAAGAAAUACUGAGCCAUGGGGAAUGUGCAUUGGCAUUUACAGUUCCUUCUGCAGAUACAUCCUGUGUGAAAUGCAGUUGUCCUCUUGCUCUGCUCAUGCUGUGAGUCCAGCAGGAUCUGUGUGGCCCAAGCUAAUAGACUGUCAAUCUUGACCAUGAGUUGCACCUACGCAUCUUUCAUUUCGUUCAAAACAUAUGAAGGAAAAGAGAGACUGCUACCCUUCAAAAAAUGGUGUCUCAGACCUUCUUGGGCAAUGAAGAGCUACAGAGACCACAUCACCUUGCUCUGGAAAAGCAUAGCUAGGAUUUGAGAAUGUCUGGCACAGAAGAAAAAACAAAAAAAAAAGACAAUAGCUCUAACUAACAUAAGAAGUUGUCAGUGUAGUCCUGAAUCUGAUUUCAAGGCCCUGCUGAAUCUGGGAUCAACAAUUGCUCUGCCUAUGAUUCGUACAGGUUCAACUAGGCAAACAAGCAAACAAAGAGGUAAGAUUUAUGCUCUUGUGGAACAGCUACUCCGGCAGAUGGGAAGAAGGUGAAGCAAGUCAGGAUGACAGGGGAGGUCAGAAAUCACUGGUUUUAUCCAAAUGAGGUAAGGUGCUCAACAUAAAACAGCAGCUAUCAUCAUUGGGUUUUUUUGCAUUUGCGUGUUCCACACUGGGCAGAGAAACAGAAGGUUGGCUAAUGUUUGCUUAUGAUAAGUCUUUGGUGUAUCUAGGUUUUCAACUUUUUUUUCCUGCUGUUCCAGAGGUUCAUGAACUUAUCUGUUUAAAGACUCAGUGGAAUGCUGAAAAACUUGAUCCUUUCUUUGGGGACAGGUUUCCUAAUAUAUAGUUUAGCUAUCAAGUUUUGCUCUGUAAAUGACAAUUUACUCUUGGAAGGAGGCCUACUGACUUUGCUUUCCAACAGGCCAGUAUGAUGAAGAAAUGAAUGAUUUCAUUCUCUGUCAUAAUUAUUUAGGACUGCAAAGUGUUUUUUUAUUUGUGUUUCUAUUUGUUGUCACUGUGUCUUUAAAAUGCAUUUUUUUUCUUACUCAUGAUUUCCCCUCUGGAGUUAGGGAAUCUCAAAAGUUCUGAAAGCAGAACAUUAAUCUGAAUUUUUUUUUUUUACUCUUUGUUCUGCUUUUGAAACAAAGUUCUAGUUUAUUUUGUAUUAGAGUAUAUCAAAAGAUCCCUGAAAGUAGAACUAUGGUACCUGAAAGGAAUAAGCUGAAUUUCAGAAAGAAAACUUUCUGCACACUUUAUAAAGUCUUUUGUUUUCUGUUUUUCAUAAAUAAUUCCUAAAUUCAAUUGAAAUAACUGAAAAAGUUCAGAGUUUUUAAUUUGCCUCAUUUCAAAGGUUUAAAAAUACUAGUGCAUUUUUAGCUAGUUCUUAAUAAAGUCUAAAUCUGCAGUUUGGUUUUGCCUUAGCUGAAAGAUUGGUGCCCCUGAUAAUGCAGCAUUGCCAGCCUAAUCUGCACAGCUGCGAUGGUUUCCAGAUGAAGGACAUUCACAUUUAUAAAUAAUUUUAAAUUAAGAAACCAAAUUAGUUGCCUGUCAUGGUUACUUAAGGUAGGAUGGAACAUAUUGUCACAUUACAUUUCACACUUCACAUUUGUGCUGAGACAAAUUUCUAAUUUUGAAGAAAAUACUUACAAGAAGCAAGUCAUCAAGUUUUUCAAGUCAUGGGCAUUGCAAAGAAGGAUAAAUUAACAAGAGAUUAAUUCAAGAUGUCAUGAAAACAUGAAUGAUCAAUAGGUAAUGAUUGUUUUAGAACAGAAUUUAUAAAUAAAUAUGAUAUAUGAAGCAUGUAAAGCAGAAUGUUGUCAUAUUGAUAGGAGGUGAGGAUUGGAGCAGAAGUUACAGAACACAAAGCUAAGACAAUUUUCACAGUGAUUUUCUGACAUAGUCUGUGAUUUCUUUCUCUCUUUCCCAUCAUGAUAGUGCUUUGGAUUUUCUUUCUCCUCUCCUCCGAAUGAGUCUUGUGACAUAGUGUUGCUUUUCAACUUUAGCCUUCCUAACAAUACUUAGACAAUCUGGAGCCUUUUCCUUUGGAAAAGGAAAGAGAAAUAGACAAAAAUAAUGUCUAGAAAUAGACAGAAAUAGACGCUAUCUAUAAAAUCUAUAAAUAUGUCUGAAAAGUGCUUAACAUUUUGUAGUUUUAGUUAUGAUAAUCCAACAACUUUAUUUUCCUCAUUCAUUAAAAUUACAAAUACUAGGUUUCCUUUGGCAUGGAAAUCGGAAAGAUUUUGGCAGGUCAAAGGAAGCAGUUGUUGAACCAUAUGCAGUCAUUUGGCUGAUCUCCUCUUAGUCUUACAACCCAAUAAAACGUCAUGGAUUUACCUGUUUUGUAAGAGAUCGUAUGUGCCAUUUUUGAGACUGUGUAACUAUUUGUUCUAAGCUAGUAUUUCACCCACUGGUUGAAGUGUUUUCUUUCUCUCAUCUGACAUGGAUGAGCACCAAACAAAUUUAGCUUGAAUAUUCUGCCAAAUAAUUAUUUACGUUAAAUCAUGUUGCUGAAAAUUUUGCUUUGGAGUAUCAGUACAGACUUGUGAAUAUCAUGGUGCCGUGAUACUGUGACUCUCCAUCUUUUUGCUUUUGUGUGACAACAGAAUUUUUCACCAGCCUGGGAUAUUGACCAUGACUCCUACAGUUUUAUAGGGCAAAAGUGCAACACUGAGGUCACGCAGCUAUUAUUUCUAACAAUCCAUUUGAUACCAGCUGUGAAAAACGUCUUUGAUUUUCACCUGAUCAGCUUAGAGAAAAAAAGGUAAUGCAGAACUAAAAUUGUAGGGCACUAAUAAAACCAUAGAUGCUGAACAAAUAAUGGAAACAUCUUGAGAAAUUGAUUAGGUGUACAAGGAAUGAAGAAGCUUUAUAACUGGAAACAGUAAACAUUCCCAAAAAGAGUUUAGUACAGGGAAUGAAUUUUGCAUAAAUUGGGCCAAACAUUUAAAAUUCUUUUUACCAGCACAAGUGAAUGAUAAUGAAUUUUCUUUCUAAUAAUGGUUUGGAAAAGUGAAAGUGGACAAUAUGAAAGACUUUGGAUUAAUUUCUCUGCCAAGACUGGGCACUCCAUCAGAAAAAUUCAAAACAUCCCUCCAAAAUAUUGAAUGGUAGAAGUGCACUUUGUUCUUAGGAGUCCAGUAGAAAUUUUAGCAUUAAGAUACAUGUGUGUUUGGGCAUAAAUCCUGGGAUUAAAACAGAGUAGGCUUGUGGCUGUAGGCUUGGCGGAAUUACAGGCUCAACCUUAUCUCCAUGUAUUGAUAUAACCUACAUGACCAAAAUGAACUUGGUACUGAAACAUAUGUAAAAACAUAUUACUAACACCUAACUUUCCCAGCUCUUUCAGUCCAAGAAGCUUACAGUGCACCUGCUAAAGAUACAUAGACAUUUGCUUUCUUGUAUUUGAAAUGCCAAGGGUCCUUUCUAGUCAGUGAAUAUGACCCUUCCGUAUGUUUCAGACAUUGAUUUUUUUAAAAUUUUGACCAACAAUUUAAAAUAUUUUUCCUAAUUCUGUGCUUUUUAGACAUAGUUUUUAGCAUUCUCAGCAUCCAUACUGAAAAUAAGUGAGACCUUGCUUUGUAUCUGUGGACUUAAUUUUGAGAUGCAGCUCUGAAAUAGUGUUUAAAGGGUAAGUAUGACACAACUGGAAAGCAUCUGUGAAAACAGAAAUGAAUUGACAGUCUUGUUGGUACAUGAUGAGAUACGGCCUAAUGACUUGGUUUCACAUAAGAAUUUUUCAUGCAUGGCCAGUUUUAGAAACCUUAGCUGACACACAGCUUCCUUCUUGAAGGCUCACUCGAAACAGAUAUGAUCACUUAAGGCCAUUCAGUGUGAAUAAAUGUUUCAAAGUUUAAGCUCUGAGUUGUGAAAAUAGGGGGGGGGUGUGGAAGGAUAAAAUAAAUCUAUUGGUGGAAACUGUGGCUGAGUUAGUGUGGUCAAAAGAAGAAGGCUAUUUUCUGUUAGGGUUUUCAAGAGCAGCACUGCUACAGAAAAUGUAGCUGAAGAUCCCUUCACUUUUCAUUAUUUUUGGCAUAAAUAGGCAAUUUAGACAUGAAAUUUGCUUUUCCAUUCAAAUUUUAAGAAGAACCCUUUCUAUGUAUUAUUUUCAACUGCUGUUCCUCCCCUUACCUUCCAAACAGCUAUUUUUUUGCACUGUGGUGUCAAAGAGACAAGUAGAAAAGAACCCAACUCUGAAUAUUGUAAAAAAGCAUUACUCUCAUAGUUGAAAAUUAGCAUUUGGAUUUCAUUCUUCCUCACAUGAUUGGUGAGAGUGAGGAGAGUGAAUAACAGUCAUUAUGGUUAAGCAUGUUUUCUGUCACUUUAAUGCAGGUAUUUCCCAAAUCUGAGUAAUGAGUCAGUCUCUCCCUGCUUGUCUACUCUCAUUUGACCCAACUGGAGUGUGAGAUGACUCAGAAGCCACACUGGUUUCAGAGUAUUAAUAUAACUUAAACACAAGGAAGUAGAAUUUAAUUCAUGCAGUCAGGCAAGAAAAGUGUUUCUGCACUUUUUGUAGGAAAGACAUGAGGUAUAAGAUUAUAUAGGUAUAUCCUGCAUCCUGAAUGGCUGGACUUGCUGUAUCCUUGGUUUUACUGGAAUUAUCAUCACACAAUAUUUUGAUGAGGAAAUGGCUGCUGCUUCUCACUGAGAGCUGCUGCUCUGCUCUGUUUCUUCAGACAUCCCUGAAUCAAUUAAAAGAGACCAUCUUAGAUCAUCUUGGCCUUGCCUCGUCCUCUACCUGGUUCCCAGUUUGGAGGAGUGUAAGACUGGGGACCAGAGUUUAGUACACAUGAGGCCCUUACACUGAACAUCAUGGUGCCAGAGCACUUGGAAUCACUGAGAAUUGCUGAACCACAUUCUAACUAAGCUUGUUCAUCAUUGUUGCUACCUUGCUACCCUUGUGGUAUUGUGGCACUACAGGAAGAAAAAGUUCUUCAACUGUACCCAUGGUAACAAAAUGGGGUGUAUUUUCUCUAUGGUUUGAAUCAGCAUUUUCUGUAUGAAAUCCUGUUUUUCUGCUGUGUCCUGCAAAGAUUUCAAGGAGAUGAUGAAAAUGUAAGAGCAGAACUGUGUCCCUGUAUAAUAGCCUUAUUCCAGCCCUUGUCCCUCUAGUCUUUUUUCAGUUCAUAUGGUAAAGCUACAAGUGAAGAACAGGAAGAUUUGUCAUUCUGACCUAGGAGAUACAUAUGACUUUUUAGAAGAUCUAACCAAGUAAACACUGUGUUGUUAACUGGGACUGUGAUCUUGAGCCUAAAAUUCCACGGAGGAGUCAGAAGAUUUCCAAAAUAAUAAUGGUGAUGCUCUUGAAAUGAUGGCUCACACCACUGAAAUGGAGUGGGAAGAAGUAGGUGAAUGAAUUCUCUUUCAUAUUUUCUUAACCUAGAGUUUUUACUGAUCAGAUUUUGAUCCAUAUUUUCUGGCAAAGAUAUAUCAACUACUUCCUCUUUACUACAGCGCUGCUGAUCUCAUCCUGGGUGAUGAAUAGCUGCUCUACUUCUUCCUUCUCCGUGAUUGAAAUGUAAAACUUUACACAGAAAAUUCCUUUCUCCACGGAAUGCUUUACCAAACUCAGCAGGAAAUGCAGAUAGUAACACUGUAGUUAUCAAAGUAGUGCAAUGCACUGACUAUAGGAUGUAUUUUAAAUGUGAUCAGAUUUUUUUCCCCAUUUUCUGAGGGGGGGUUUCCUGAAUACAGUAGGAGAAUUUCCAGGUCUAAAAUGAAUAGGAAAAAAAUGGGAACAGGGACAAUUUCUCUCUUCAAACUAAUUUCAAUGCAUUAAACAGACUUUCACUAUGAAAGGGACUACUAUACAGCCCAAAGUUCAAACAAUUGAGUUCUUUCAUUCAAAUGAUGCUCUGUAUCACGCUGAAAUCAUUACAGAGCUUGGCCACUGCAAGUCACAUCCUUAAUGGGUGGCAAGGAUAACCACAUUAAACAGGGAUGUUUUCUCUAGACUUAUUUGUCUCGCUCCAGACUUCCUAACUUCUUAAAAAUCUUAUUAAACACUAGAUUUAAUGUACUUAACCUAAUUGCUCUCUCCACAACAUUAAAGAAUGUCUGUUACAGAUAAAAGAGAACAUAUUAACUUUUCUCAUAUUUUCCCACUUUUUCUACUAUGAUUUUUUUCUAGCUUCUUAAUUGAAAGAAAUCCCUUAUUUUGAAUUCUGUUGCAAUUUUAAAGAAAAGGAUCUGAAAUAUAUAUUUCAUUCCAUGUGAUAUGCAACUCUAACAUCUUAAUUUCAAAACACAUUCACCAUUUCUAUUUUAAUAUGAAAGUAAGUCAUGUAUUAGCAUGAUUGUCUGUUAUGUCUUGAAGAAUCCCUUAUUCUUAAUCCUGUAUCUGAAUUAGCUUUGAUGUCUGAACUUCUUUAAUAAUUAAACAAUAUCAUCAAGUAAUUUUUGCAAAUAGUUGCUGCAGCUGGGCAUAGGGCAAACUGGAUAUUGUGGUGUGCUUUUUUUAGUAAAAUUUAUUUGUGCUAGUCUGCCUGGCAAGGAGUGAAGGAGAUCAGGCUCUGGUCUGUUUUGUGAUGUAGGUGAGAGCUUUUCCAAAGUUCACCAACAGGUAGCUUGGGAGCCUGGAGAUCUCCUGCUGCAGAGCCAGGAGUGAGAAAAUCCUUGGUGGCCAGGGGGUGAGCACUCCAGUGAGAUGUAAUUCAACAGAGGUAAGCCUAGUAGAUGACAAAGGCCUAAUUAAGACCAGUGCCUGCAAACUGGAGACAGGGAAAUUAAUGUUGGGAUUAUAGCAUCAUAAGAUCACAGGAUAAUUCAGAAUGGAAGAGUGCUCAGAAGUCACCAGUCCAACCUCCUACUGAGAGCAGCAUCACUUCUGAUCUCAGACCAGUUGCUCAGGGUUUUAUCCAGUCAGGUCUGGAUGGAAAGCACAGCUUCCCCAGGGAACUUGCUCGAAUUCUGAUCUGGUAUGGAAAAGUUGUUUCCUGUACCCAGUAAGAACUUUAAAGACAGAGACACAUUUAUAUUGUUGUGUACUAUUGGGAUAGAUCUGCCACAGGAAUUGGGGAAUUCCACGGUUAUUGUUACCUUUAUGACUGGAUAAUUUUCUGGGAAACUUGUCUUUUAUCAAAGGUAAGAUGAUAUUUUCUGUAUAUACAGCUGUUCCUUGUGGCUUUAAUGUAACAAAUACAUGAAGACAUCACCUAGCUGGAAGAGUUGAAUGAGGCACUUUAGACAAUAAAGAAAUUGUUGACUUUUUAAAAUAGGAAUUUUGAAUCUUUUCUAAUCUAUGUUGUUAAAAUGAUAGGAAAAGAAUUUACAGGAAGUGAAAAUUUGGUUAAAGGAAUAGUUGCACUUUCUAAUCUUUCAUUGCAUUUUGAACUUCAAUGCUUCUGAGACAUUCCUAUGGCAUUUAAUUAUCAAGUGACUUGGGAAAGAACAAAAAUAUUCUCAGAAACUUGUGAAUAACCUAGUUAAGACUUGUGCAAAGCCAUUAAAAAUCUGCUUAUUUGUAAAAAUAAAACAAAACAAAACAAAAGCAUCAGACUGCUGUCUUUCAUGUGAUAGAAAGACACAGCAUAUAUGGUUUUCUGUCUGAAUCACCACCACCCCAACCCCUGUAAUGCUUCAAAAGCUUUAUUUGCUGAGUGAUAACAUUUACUGAUAUUUUGAUUAUCAAGCAAAUGGUACAUGCUGAGAUUAGGGACACAGAGGUAGUUUUGAGGCUCUUCUGACAUUCUCCUUUGCUGUUGGUGUCAUAAUAAUGUGUAGCAGGUGGCUGCAUGGUCAGAGAAAGGGCCUAUUGCUGGGACACAUCAUUGUUAUAUUGAUGCAUUUUUGUACUACUUCUUACCCUCAGGUUUCUGAGAAUUUCCAUCUUAAAUGAGAAAAAGCAGCAGGAUCAAAUUCAAUGCAGAUGCUACCAGUACAUUCUAUAUCAACCCCCAUACCAGGAAUGCAAUAGCACAUGAUGGACUGAACUCAGUUUCACACUAUACAUUUAAUGGUGGGCAAUUAAAGCAUGCAAACUUUGGAUUAUCCAAACUAGAAAUGGUUAAUCUCUGUUUAGCUUUGGACUGUGCAACUUACUCAGCAGAUACAUGCCAACAUUGUUUAUUUAUCUAAAGAUAUUUAUCUAAUUUAGCUGUCAUAUACAUUCAAGACCUAGGGUAUAAUCGUGGUCUGCUUCCCCAAAGGGGAUGGUAGCAUCCUGUUCUCAUUUUUGGGUGCUAGAGAGUUACACUCUCAUAGUCUGCCUAAAAUGCAGGUGCUGCCUAAUUAUAUUGCACAAAGAGAUUGACUUCAGUGAAAAUUUAGAAAAAGGAGUAGUCUUGUGCAAUGCCUACACACUUCUAAGAAGGCUUUGUGAGGAAGAAAAAAAAAAAAAGAAAAGAGAAGCUUGAAUCUGAAUCCUAUCCAAGUAUUUUCCUUGUUAAAGAGCUGAAUGAAUCCUAGUGUGGAGAUAAAAAUACAGAUAAAGGGGGAAAAAUUGUUUGUGGUACAAUGGCGAGAUAAGGUUCCAUUUAGCCUGUGCUUGUGUGGGCACCUACAACUUGGCUGCUGUUCUGGUAGUGUUUCCAACACUGGGAGUCUACACAGCCCUUCUUCCCACGGCCAUGUUCCUUGCUCUGCUGCCUCUGGGGUCCCAACAAUUUCUUCCUACUUCUGUUGUCCACCAAGAGUUGUGCAAUACCUGCCAUAUGGUGUAUCAAAUAUGACCACACACAUAAAAAUGGGAUUGGGAGCAAAAGUGAACAAAACUGUGAGAACUUUGGUGGUUUUGAGUGAAGGCUUUGCAGUAAAUAAAUUUCAGUAUGAGACAUGAAAAUUACUGUUUUAACUAAUUUCUUCA